AGUGAACGCUGGCGGUAGGCCUAACACAUGCAAGUCGAACGGCAGCACAGUAAGAGCUUGCUCUUACGGGUGGCGAGUGGCGGACGGGUGAGGAAUACAUCGGAAUCUACUUUUUCGUGGGGGAUAACGUAGGGAAACUUACGCUAAUACCGCAUACGACCUACGGGUGAAAGCAGGGGAUCUUCGGACCUUGCGCGAGUGAAUGAGCCGAUGUCGGAUUAGCUAGUUGGCGGGGUAAAGGCCCACCAAGGCGACGAUCCGUAGCUGGUCUGAGAGGAUGAACCGCCACACUGGAACUGAGACACGGUCCAGACUCUGAGGGGAGGCAGCAGUGGGGAAUAUUGGACAAAGGGCGGAAGCCUGCUCCAGCCAUACCGCGUGGAUGAAGAAGGCCUUCGGGUUGUAAAGCCCUUUUGUUGGGAAAGAAAAGCAGCAGGUUAAUACCCCGCUGUUCUGACGGUACCCAAAGAAUAAGCACCGGCUAACUUCGUG
rnacentral:rRNA from 1 species